rnacentral:rRNA from 1 species
CAGCCGCCGCGGGAACACGGAGGGAGCUAGCGUUGUUCGGAAUUACUGGGCGUAAAGCGCACGUAGGCGGCUUUGUAAGUUAGGGGUGAAAGCCUGGAGCUCAACUCCAGAACUGCCUUUAAGACUGCAUCGCUUGAAUCCAGGAGAGGUGAGUGGAAUUCCGAGUGUAGAGGUGAAAUUCGUAGAUAUUCGGAAGAACACCAGUGGCGAAGGCGGCUCACUGGACUGGUAUUGACGCUGAGGUGCGAAAGCGUGGGGAGCAAACAGGAUUAGAGACCCCCGUAGUCCCUGUCUCUUAUAC